rnacentral:rRNA from 1 species
CUAUGUACGGAAUGGAUAAGCGCUGAAAGCAUCUAAGCGCGAAGCCAACUUCAAGAUAAGAUUUCCCACCGCAAGGGUAAGACCCCAGAAAGACUAUCUGGUUGAUAGGUCGAAGGUGUAAGUGCAGGGUUUCAGGUUC